rnacentral:lncRNA from 1 species
UAUUGGUUGCACUAAAAAAAUACAUUGAUAAAAAAUUAGCUAAGAACUUCAUAUGCUAUUCAAAAUCUUCCACAAAAAAUUCUAUCUUAUUUGUGAUGAACAAUGAUAAAUCUCUGCAGAUAAACAUAGACUAUUGAGGAUUUAAUAAGAUCUCUAUUAAGAUCACCAUUAAGAAUAAAUAUCUCCUACCUUUGAUAUCAAGAGUUCUUGACCAAUUCAAUCAAACAAAGAUGUAUACAAAAAUAGAUCUAUAAAG